rnacentral:lncRNA from 1 species
AAUGUAAGGUUAGAUCUAUUGCAGUGUUUAUACUGUUGCAGUGUUUACUGUUGUGUUUUUGCAUUUUUUUUAACACUUAAAAUUACAAUAAUUUUUACAGUGUGUGUAUUAAAUUAUGCAAAUGAAAACUAUAGCAUUUUCACUAUUGGUCUCAUAAUUUUGGACCCCACACAAUAUGUGUGUCUGUGUAAUGUGUGGUCCAGGUAUAUACUAAAAGUCUCCACAAGGAUAGUAAAACCUGAUGUUUUUUUAAUUGUAAAAAACAUAUUUAUAAAAUAUGCUAUUUUUUUUUCUUUUUCUUCUUUUUUUUUUGAAAGGUACACAUUCAGAAUAUUUUCUGCAAGGGUCUGGUUUAGAGUUACAACAUAGAAAAGUUGAAAAAUCAGUAUAAAAAUAAUUUUGUUUAUGGUUAGUUGUCAUAAAACCAAAAACCCAAUGAAUGUGUCUGGUGUCUUUCACAUAAAUCCUGCAUGAAAUCCUCAUUUUUCAGACCAUUUUUAACUGACCGUCUUAUUGAAAUCACACACAAACCCUCCAGCAGUUGUUCUACUUCCACAGACCAGCAUUUAGUUGAUUCAGUAGCUCCAGACACCCUCUCGGACAUCUGACGAACCCAUGAAUUCACCAUCUCAGUUGUUUCAGUCCAAAUCUUCAGAUUAAUGGUCCCAGACUCGUAAUCUAUAACGCAGAGAUGGAAAAUAAUGAAGAAUUACAAAUGACGGGCAGAGGCAGAAUCUGAUUAGGCAUAUUGACUGACUGAUGUCCAUUGUAAAUCUAUGAUGACUGAUGUUCCAUCUUCAGUUAUGAAACACAGUUUUAGAGUAGAUCUUCCCAGAACAAUGGCACCAGCCCCCUAACUCCACAGCACAAUUGAAUUGUCUGUAAGCACAUAGAACCACAAAAAGCCCCGCUAGCUUUGCUUUAGAAUCACUUACGAAUGAUCCGAAAUCAAACGCAAACAAUGAAACUCAAUAUACUUUUUGUUGACAUUUGAAAUUUAGAGAAAGAAAAUAAAGUGAGAGUGCUUUUAAGGCCACAGAAAGUGACCUUGGUGAGGCCAGCGAGAGGUAUCUAACUUUAAAAACUCCAUUACCUACUCCAGGACUUGCUCUCUCUCUCUCUCUCUCUCUUUUCUUGCUUUAAGAAAGAGGAAAGUACUGUGCAGUAUUUCACCUUUAUCUCCCGAUAGCAGGUCUUUGUGUUAUCUUAUUCUUAUUGGAAAGAAGGGAGGGGAAAAGCCUCCAAGGCGUGAUACACCACGCACUCCCCACGGAUGGUAAGAUACCAAACACUUCCUUUCCAAACUUUCCACACUUUCAUGCUAAAGGAGAUGAGAGCCAGUUGAAUUGUAAAGGGAGCUUCUGUUGGAUUUCUCUACAGACAAAUAGAGGGAUACAUCUGAAAAGCUGAGCAUAUGCCGCAGCACAAGGUGUAUACGCGCCUGCGCGUGUGUGUUUGCGUAUAUGUACUCGCGUAGAGUCGAGCUGAAUAGCACAAAGAGAACUUUUAAAGAGAGAACUGUGACAUAUUCCCAGAGUGUCUGUCUGCCAGUCAGAAUUCCCAAGCAUGCUGGGUGAUGUCCUCCAAAGCACAGAUCUACCUGUGCAAGAGGCCCCUGUGACAGAACACAUGCCGCACUGAUUUUCACAGAUGGGUUUCAGUGGCCUGUGAGGUUUCUCUCUUUCUCGCUUCAAACUGAGAACGACAAGUUUUGGGGCCACACUAAAACUGUAGCAGGUUUUAGUAUUUUAGGUUUUUUUUUUAGCCUGGCACCACGUGUGAAGUCUGAAAGCAACGAGUUUCACUCAUAAACACAAGCAGUCACAGUGUAAACCGCCUGUGAAAUGUUAGGCUACAGCAAUAUGAUUAACAUAAAAAUGUUUUUAAAAAAGGUUUGCAAAGAAAUUCAUGAGCAGGUCCAAAUGACUGAUUAUGUAGGCUAUUUUGUGUGGUUUCUUUUUGGCCAGUGCCGGCCUACCUACAUUCCAUUUUAAGGAAUUUUAAACAUUCAGAAUCAAGAAUUCCCGAAUCUUGACCUAAAGGGGUCAUAUGAUGUUGUGAUGAUUUUGUGUAUUAGGUGUAAUGAAAUGGGUUUAUGCGGUUUAAAGUUCAAAAAACACAUUAUUUUCCACAUAAUGUACAUUAUUGUUUCUCCUCUAUGCCCCGCCUUCUGAAACACGUCGAUUUUUACAAAGCUCAUCGUUCUGAAAACCGAGGUGUGCUCUGAUUGGCCAGCUAUCCAGUGCAUUGUGAUUGGCCGAAUACCUCAAGCGUGUGACAGAAAUGUGUCGCCACUGUGUGUCCCACAGCGCCGAAACAUUAAAACCUAUUAUUACAAGACAUUUGUUGCAUCCAGUGGGGACAUAAUUAUGGAUUAUAAUUACCAGCGGUUCUCAAUUCCAGUCCUCCCACCCCCUAGUUCUGCAUAUUUUGCACAUCUCUCUUUGUUAACACACCUGAUUCAGAUAAUCAGCUCAUUAGAAGUGAGCUCCGUGCAUGAACUGUGUUCCAAUUGACAUGGUCCCUAUACAGUGUUCAUUGCUCCCUACUCCCUGAGCAGGGGAAAAAAAGUUUACUUCACUUUGGAACAUUC